rnacentral:rRNA from 1 species
GACGAACGCUGGCGGCGUGCUUAACACAUGCAAGUCGAGCGGUAAGGCCUCUUCGGGGGUUCACGAGCGGCGAACGGGUGAGUAACACGUGGGUGACCUGCCCCUUACUCUGGGAUAAGCCUGGGAAACUGGGUCUAAUACCGGAUAUGACGCGCCUCUGCAUGGGGGUGUGUGGAAAGUUUUUUCGGUGGGGGAUGGGCCCGCGGCCUAUCAGCUUGUUGGUGGGGUGAUGGCCUACCAAGGCGACGACGGGUAGCCGGCCUGAGAGGGCGACCGGCCACACUGGGACUGAGACACGGCCCAGACUCCUACGGGAGGCAGCAGUGGGGAAUAUUGCGCAAUGGGCGGAAGCCUGACGCAGCGACGCCGCGUGGGGGAUGACGGCCUUCGGGUUGUAAACCUCUUUCGCCAGGGACGAAUGUAGGACGGUACCUGGAGAAGAAGCACCGGCCAACUACGUGCCAGCCGCCGCUGUAACAC